UCUCGUGAUUAAAAAAAGUAUUGGCCAAUUGAUUUGUUUAGCAAUGCGGCUGUUUUUCUAAAUGUAUUGCGUUAACUAAAAUGUUUGAACACUCCGUCAAGGUACCUAGACAUUAUAAGAUUGCAGCAAACAUAUUUAAGAAAGUUUCAACAGAAGGCGGAAGCGUAAAAAGUUUAUUAUACGAUAAUAAGCUUCGACACUUUAACAAUUAACAAUGGCCGAGACUGACGAAGGUCCACUUAUCCCUAAACAAACGAAAAUGGCAGUGAUAGUGUUGGCAAACCUGUUUAUGUACAGUAUUGCUAUGUUCACAUUACCAUUCAUUGCAUUUUUUGGAGUUCGGCAUAUACUUACUGAGCAUUAUCCGGUAGACAGAUUUGCGGUGACGGUUUGGUCUGUCAUAUCUGCAGUUGUUGUUGUUAAUUUGAUAAUAAUAGCUUAUGCAUACAAAGCUUAUCAUGAGAAGGAGUAUGAUGAGCAUGGCAAUGAGAUUGAUCAGCACAAAUAUACUCCGCUUCCCACAGAAGCAGAUAAAAGCAGUUUGAAUGUAAAGCAAGACUAAAUUUAACACAUUCCGAUGCAGUAUUCUUUACAUAAUAAGUUUUUGAAAUAUAUAAAAAAAAUCUGGUGAUUAGUUGCUUUUCAUUUCCUGUAUAUUUAUGAAUGAAAAACCAAAGUUAAAUAUUUCUUCAUGUUUAGAGUUAACAAGACUUUCUUAAUUUAGAUUAUUAUAUUUAUUUAAGUAAUUUUGAAAUAGUUUAAAUCUAUGUAUUGAGAUUUAACAAAUUUACAAUAACAUCAGCAAACAGACCAAAAGUGCAUAUUUAUAUAUAUAUAUACAAUGCUUUAACAUCUGAUUAGAAAUAAACACUCCUACGGAAUA
rnacentral:misc_RNA from 1 species